rnacentral:lncRNA from 1 species
AGUCUGAUGGAUCUGGGUGACUGGGCAAGUUCUUUAGCUUGUCAAACCUUCAUUUCUCUAAUUUAUAACAUAAGGACAGUACCUUCUUCCUGUCAAGGUUGAGGCAAGCAUUAGUGAGAAACGUCUCAAGGCCUGGUUCACAUUAAAGGUCAAAAAAGAGAGAAAACAUCACUGUUCUCUUCAGCAGAACUUUUGUCAGUGUGAUCGAGAAUUGUCUCAAGUGACAAGUGAGCUGACCAGGGAACCCUGGGUGGCAGGUACUAUUGGCACCAUUUUCCAGAUAAAGAAAAUGAAGUUCUAAGCAGUCAAAUGACAUGUCAAGAUCACCCAACUGAGACUACUGCCCUUCAUUGAUUGAUGUCCGGUGCCUGGAAAGCCAUGGUUUUAUGCAGUUUGUGGAUUUUUUAUUUUUUUUCUUUAUUUGAAAUGGGAAGGAUCACAUUACAUCGAACAGAAACUGUUUUACCUUGCUUGCAAGGAGGUGGAGGCCUCCUUGCCCCCAAGUGUGGUGCCACUUCCGGGUUCCUUGAGCACUUCCAGGUUAUCAGCCCAGCUCUCCUCCAGUUUCUGGGGCUGCUGAAGAAGCUGUUGGGGAAAUUCUGGAGGCUGGGAAGUCCAAGAUCAAAGUGCCAG